rnacentral:rRNA from 1 species
AUGCUGUCCAAACUGUUCGUCGGGGAGGAAAUCAAGGUAGCUCUAGAGUCUAUGGGGGACCUGAAAGCCCCGGGACCGGACGGCAUGCCGGCGCUCUUUUAUAAGAAGUUCUGGUACAGGGUGGGUGGCAGGGUACAAAAGGAGGUUUUGGAGGUGUUGAACGGAGGAGUGAUGCCACCAGGGUGGAAUGAAACCACAAUUGUGCUCAUACCGAAAGUCAAGACCCCGGAGUCUCUCACACAAUAUCGCCCCAUCAGCCUUUGCGAUGUCCUGUUUAAGCUUAUCUCGAAGGUUCUAUCCAACCGGGUGAAGGUGAUCCUUCCGGACUUAAUAUCCCCAUCCCAAUCAGCUUUUGUCCCGGGGAGGCUAAUCACGGAUAAUGUUCUGCUAGCUUAUGAGAUCACCCACCUGAUGCAUAAGAAGAAGGGGGGACGACAAGGACUGGUGGCAGUGAAGCUCGAUAUGAGUAAGGCGUAUGACCGGGUGGAGUGGGCAUUUUUGGAACGAAUGAUGCUAACUAUGGGCUUUACUCCCACCUGGGUUGAGCUUGUGAUGCAAUGCGUGAGAUCAGUGUCCUAUCGUGUGAGAGUUAAUGGCAAACUAAUGGAAGCUUUCCUCCCGCAGCGAGGUCUCCGUCAAGGAGAUCCUUUGUCGCCGUAUCUGUUUAUCAUAUGUGCCGAGGCGUUCUCGGUUUUGUUACAGCAAGCAAAACAGGAUGGUGCGAUUGAGGGAGUCAAGAUCUGCCCCGGGGCCCCUAGCAUCAACCACUUGUUUUUUGCGGAUGACUCGCUCAUUGUUAUGAAAGCGACCGAGGCUAGUGCUGCCCGACUGCAGGAGAUGCUUGAUUUGUACGAAGCAUAGUCGGGGCAAAAGAUCAAUAGGGACAAGUCGUCGGCUUUCUUCAGCAAGAACACUAACGCCCAAAAUAAACGACGAGUUCUUCAGGUCUUGGGUCUCCAAAGAGAAUCAAAGAAUGAACGAUACCUUGGCUUGCCUGUGCAUCUCGGGGCUGCAAAGUCAAAAGAGUUUGAGUAUAUAAAGGAGAUGAUAUGGAAAAGAAUACAGGGCUGGUUGGAGAAACUUCUGUCAAAGGUGGGAAAGGAAACUCUCAUUAAGGCCGUCGCCCAGGCCAUCCCAACCUAUGCCAUGUCCUGUUUUGAUUUAACUAAGAGUUUGUGUGAGGAGAUUAGUGCCAUGGUGUGCCGGUACUGGUGGAACCAGCAGGAUGGGACGCACAAAUGCCACUGGCUUGGAUGGGAGAAACUCAUGAAGACGAAGCAGCAGGGGGGGCUGGGGUUCAGGGAUCUCCAUAUUUUCAACCAGGCAAUGCUUGCGAAGCAAAGCUGGCGGCUGCUCCAACACCCGGAGUCUUUGUGCGCAGCUGUACUCAAGGGAUCUCCAUGGUGUGCCGGUACUGGUGGAACAAUGCAUGGGUAUAUGUACUAG